rnacentral:lncRNA from 1 species
CCUAUGUGCACCAUUUUGAGUGGAUAAAGAUGGUUGGUUGGCCAUUCAAAUUCAAAUGAUGUUUGAAUUUGAAUGGGCAACUAAUCUCAUACGCCACCUUAUCCACUUGUGCGCCACUUACUCUACACGAGAAAAAGUUUCUCGUGUAAAUUCUCCACACACAAAGAACCCACACCCCCUUCUUCUUAUGCCAAGAGUGG